ACCUAUUGUCCUAUAGGUUUCACUACUUUGAAACAUGUCUUUUAACCGUUUAGAAGAUUAAUCAACCUAUUUCUAGCCCCACUCACAAGUUCAUAAUGUUCUAUGUUGCGCAUACAUGAACAUAAACAAGCAAGAGUUAUCUGUAAACCAAAACCAAAUAGACAAUCCACAAUUAAGUAAUUGCGAAAUCAAGGUUGCGAAACAAAGUUUAUUGCAUAAUUCAGGGCUUCAAACCUCCAUCCCUAACAAAAGAAUUUAGUUAAGCAUGGCUGCAAAAUCACACAAAAGAAACAUGGUUCGAAAGUUAAAAAGUACAAAGGGAAGAAGAAAACUGUGAAUGAAUGGAGUUGACAAUGAUCUUGGCGGCUUCCCCUUGAUGGAUUCUUGUGCGAUGCAACAACGUGAAAUCUCUCUCGUAGUAUGACGGCUUAGCCUCCUUCAAAUCUCAGGGUUUUGUCUUAAAUAGUCCCCAAGUCUUCAUAGCUUCCUUUUCAGACUAUGUUUCCUUCUUUGACUAGGAUUAAUGUUUGGGCUAUCUUUUGAAUGUCUUCCACAUAUAAUAUGGGCUUGGCUUUUGGGCACAUUAUAGCACUGAUGUCACUCUUCAAAAUUGUGCAAAAACCCCGAGAAAGCUUCUCGGAAUCCGGCCCAAAUACUGCCUCAAACUUGAUUGCUGCAUAGCUUUCCCGGAAUUGCUGAUUUUCUGUCCAAUUCAAAGCUUCAUAACUCCCAUAUGCCAUCACCGAUUUGGAUGAUUCUUGACACCAAAUUGAUCUACAAAUGCUCCUCUACAAAUCUGGGCAGUCACCUUGGUGAAACCAUUCUCAGAACCACAUGGAAAUAAGCCUUAAAAACUGGAGAAAAUAAGCAGAAACCAGUUUUCAGCUUUUUGUGUUUGUAGCUUUCGUUUUGGUGAAGUGGUUUCAUCGACUUUCCUUGAUACUUUUGAUCGACCAUAUGAAUGAUCAAACAUCAUCCUUGACAUCUCUACUUCAUAUUGGAAGCCUUUCUUGUAUCACUUGAGCACAUAUUUGUAUUAUCUUGCUCCACAAUCUACAUAAGAAAAUAAAAAAGUUAAAACAAUAUUUUUAAACGAAAAUAGUCAAGUUAAAUGCAAAAAUUAAACUAUAAAAUCGUCGCAAUUUAUGCUCCUAUCACGGGACGCCGCACGAAGCAGGAAGGGAUUAUAACCGACAGGAUGCUAGCGAAGUGGAAAGGGGUAAUAAUCAACGGGACGCCACACAAAGCGGUAAGGGUAAUAAUCGAAGGGACCCCACAUGAAACGGGAAAAAGUAAUAACCGAAGGGGCGCCGCACGAAGCGGUAUGGGAUAACCACUGAGGGGACGCCGCACGAAGCGGUAUGGGAUAAUCACUGAAGCGACGCUACACAAAGCGGUAAGGGUAAUAGCCGACGGGACACUGCACGAAAUGGGAAGGGGUUAUAACCUAUGGGAUACCGCCAAAGCAGGAAGAAGUAAUAAUCGACGGGACGCCGCACGAAGCGAAAAUGGGUAAUAACCGUCGGGACGCCGCACAAAGCGUUAAAGAGUAAUAACUGAAGGGACCCUGCAAGAAGCGGGAAGCAGUAAUAAUCGAAGGGGCAUCGCACGAAGCGGUAUGGGGUAAUCAACGAGGGGAUGCCGCACAAAGCGGUUGAGUUAUUAUUAACCGAAGUGACGCCACACGAAGCGGUAAGGGUAAUAACCAACAGGACGCCGCACGAAGCGGUAUGAGUAAUAACCAGGACGCCGCACAAAGCAAUAGGAGAAAUAACCGGGACACUGCACGAAGCGGGAAUGGGUAAUAACCAUAGGGAUGUCACACGAAGCGGCAAAGAAAAAUAACCGAAGAGACACCGCACAAAGUGGUAAGGGGUAAUUAAUAACCGAUGGGACGCCGCACGAAAGGGCAAGAAGUAAUAACCGAAAAGACUCCGCACAAAACGGGUAGGGGUAAUAACCGACGUGACACCACACGAAGCAGAAAAGGGUAGUAACCGACGAGACGCCGCACGAAGCAGGAAGGGGUCAUAACCGAUGGGACGCCGCACGAAGCAGGGUCAUAACUGACGGGACGCCGCACGAAGGGGGAAGGGGUAAUAACCGAAAGGGCGCUGCACAAAGUGGUCAGGGGUAAUCAUCGAAGGGGCGCCGCACGAAGCAGUCAGGGGUAAUAACCGAUGGGAAGCCGGACGAAGUGGUCAGGGGUAAUCACCGACGGGAUGCCGCACUAAACGAAAUUACUAAUACAAUGACAAGAUAAAAACUUGUCAAGAUCGUUACGAAAUACAUUAGUUAGAUAUCUCAGAAUUAUUGAGAACACAGUACACAACAUGCCAAACAAAUAGAGAUUCAUCAAAAUUUGUCUAUAAUCCAUAUCUGCGAGAUAAAAUUCCACAUAUACGCAAGUCCUCCCCAACAGAAGAUACCCGAGGAUCUAAUCCCCACUCUAAUACCAUUUGUAACACCUUGACCCAAUAUUUAUGCAAAAAAUGCGAGUUUUGAACGAAACAGAAAACUCAAAAUUCAAUCUCAAAUUCCAGUGAACUUACCGUUUGUUAAACGAAUUUCAUACCCAUCGAUAUGGGGCUUCUAUGUUUUACUCCCAUAAGAUCAUACCCAUCACAUUUAAACCUAAAUGCAGUUGAAGUCGCCAAAACCACCAUGAACCGCCGAAGCAGUCCACUCUCUUCUCUUCGUCGGUUCUCUUUCCAAGCUUAAGGACUAAUCAAACAAUACCCGAAACUUGAAGGGGUCGUUGAGAAAAGCAAUAUGAUGACGGUGCCCCCUCUCUUGUGUCAAGGAGUAGCCGGAGGUAUGGCUGGAUUGUCCUCAGAGUUUGUGGCUUCCCGUUUCGAGUAGAGAAACCUUGAAGCUUCUCCUCCCCCUCUCUCUCUCCCCCUGUCUGGAGAGUUCCUGAGACAAUUUUAAGAAAAUGAGGUUAGUGCUCCCUCUCCAUUCUCAAUCCUUCCUUUUCUUUCUCUAUGUCGGUUUCAAACUGGCCCCUUCUAGACCCCUUUCUCUAUCUUACAAUUAUAUUUUUAUUAUUUUCAUUUAUUUAAUUUACAUAAUUGGCAGAAUGUAUGUACAUGCACACGUUAUGCAUAAAUCCCAAUAAUAUCGAACCUCUAAUUGAUACUAUCGAGACAUUUUUAUCUGGACUUUCGUCUCGAUAUAAAUCAUAUGUAUUCAUAGAAAUAUUUAUUUAUUUGCUUCAUUUACUUUUAAACUGUUCUUUCAAAGGUUCUAAAAUGUGUCGCCUUGUCCCGCCUUAGGCUAUAGGCAGAGCUAAGCUGCCCGAAUUUUCUCCAAAGCAUUCAAGUAAGGCGAUCAACCGCCCAGGGACAGGCGAAGCAAGCGCUCCUCUACUGUGUGUUGCAAAAUUGAAGCAGACGAGAUCAUUCACCAGAUCUGGGUUUGUUUGAUUUUUUUUUUCUUUUUCUAGGAAUGAAGAGGCAAGAAUGGGAUAGAUGUCCAGUUCAGUCGAAAAAAAAUGAGAUAGAUGAUUAUUGUUGCAAGUUGCAACACACGUGAACAAGAGCAGGUUUAUUGAAUAAUGAAACCAAUGUUCGAAUUUGACAUUUGGUCAAUUAAGAAACCUCCCCACCGCACUGCCCCAUUUCCAUAAAGGAGCUGAAAUUCACACUCCAAUUUUUACAUUCUACGCUCCCUUUGAAUUUUUUAAUAUUUCUUUAUCAAAUCACAAUGUUUCUCCUCCGAAACUACCCUUCUCUCACCCACCUCUUCUUCAACCUCAUCCACUCUCCACGCUCCUCAUCCUCCAUGUGCCUCUCCACGCUUCUCAUCCUCCACGCGCCACCCUAUGCCCGUCCACCCCAUUCCCACUUCCUCACUCUAAUUCGAAUAACUAAGCACUUCUAAUCAUUCGAUGGCAAUCUAGAAACUAUUCCCGACAAUAACAAAAACCAAAGCAGUUGCAAUAAGAUCGAGACAGUGGUGGCCGGCACCACAAUUGAAUUGCAUCGUUGUCGAAGAAGACCAAAAGUUAUCGGCUUCCCUCGACGGCGAAGAACAAUCCUCCGUCAACGAAUUUCAAUAACCCAAGCAGCCCAUAUUUUGACUUCGAUUCCGGUAUUGGUGUUGGAUGUGGUGGCGGAGUGGUGGUGUAAUCAGUGGUGGAUUGGGUUGUGGGUAUGAUGGUGCAUCUUUUAUUAUGAUGAAGAAAAAUGAAGCACAAGUGUGCUGGUGUAGGAAAAAUGAGUAAAGACGAGUAAUUAAACACAGAAAAGGAGUAAAUUGUGUAUGGGUAGGAAGAUGAUUUUUGAAAUAGAUUGGAAAAAGUGAUGCAUCAAUAAACUAGAAGAGAUGGGAGUAGCUGAGAAUCAGAGACCGACACGCAUGGGCUCUUGAGCAAGACUUGCGAUCAGAUUUCAGUCCUAUAGGAUCAAUACCCAGUCCUACAGUUGUAAUAAUCGGUAUACUUCUCUAUUUUCAAUCCACAAAAUCCCUGAUCUAUGAUAUCUAUGAUCGGUAGCUUGAUAUCAAGCAAACUCCAAAGAAUCCAAAUGAUAGUUGAUUGGCUGUGAUAUGGGCAUGAGAGGAAAAACAUUGUAGAAACAAAAGGUUCGCAAUUGGAGCAACAUUGAGAGAGAUAAGACAAAUGAGGGUGAUUUGGUAAAAACAACAUGAGGAGUGUAGAUUGUAAAAAUAAGAGUGCAAAUUUCAGUACUCUUCCAUAAUCUCAAAUACUAAUAUUUACAUUAAACUAUUGUUUUUUCUGCAUCUCUAUUUAAUUAGCUAAUUUGGCUCAUAAAACCGUUUUGGGUUGAAUUUUGAAAAACCUAAAUUAUAUUUAGAGUAUUAAUAUUUUACUAGUUUUAAUUAUUAUAUUUAUUUAUUAAAUUAGAAAAAAAAAGUAAAUUGUCUAAUCCUCAUCUAGUCCCCGCCUAGACUGUCCAGGCGCUAGGUUAUGGGUUGCCGCCCGCCUACCGGCUAACGCCUUUUAGACCAUUGGUUAUUUCCCUUGCUUUGCACAGGAUGUGUAUAAAUACAAUACACGAUUAAUUUUACAAAUGAGGAAAAAUAUAGAUACGAAACUCUUCAAAAUCAAGUACUUGGUACUCUCAACCUGAAGGGGUAAAUUAUCCCAUAUCUCAGCAUAACCACAAUCAGAGCAACAAUCUUCAGAAAUUCAAUUGUCAGAAUAUUACCUGCUAACAGUUGAUAAACCAAAUCAUACACGCAUAUAUGAUCCCAUCCCAAGAAGAUUACACCUAAUUUUAAGUAAACCAAUUGCUUUCUUAAACAAUAUCACAUUUUCACGUACGUUAUGCGAAAACCUUCGGUGGUUAUAUCCAACUCUAAAUUACAGUAGUUAGGAGUAUUGCCUACGUCGCCCAAAACCACUGUAAUUAGUUUUACACAUAUAUAAGCAUUAACCAAUUUCCAAUCUCAGCCGUAAUGGCUGGCUUACAUGAACUUUCAAAAGAAUUACAAAACUAUAUAGAUUGAGAUCGUUUAUCAUAUACGUUGCUAAUAGCAAAAUGAAACAGUAAAACCCAUACCAGAAGAAAAUCAUAGUCAAGUCGAACAUGUAUAUGGAUUGGAUUCUAAACUCAAGAGAGUAGUAUUUACCUGGACAUACCAACAUUCUGAUAUUGUUGUGCCUCCUACAUUAAUCCAAGAUGCGUGUGUGUGUGUAGAUGGAACUCUUAACAACAGAAAUUGCCUUGCAAAGUAGCUAUUUACUUUAUCAAGACACCAAAAACAACCAAAUACUACGCAAGUCUUCGAUUCUAGACUUAAACUUGUAGACAAUAAGAGUAGACCAUGAGAAUUAUUAAUGAACCAACACGAAAUGCAGACAAGGAUAUCAUACCCAAAAUAAGAAAUUUUGUUGGUCCAUUAAUAAGUAUCAGAUCAUGAUUAAACCUUUCCCAGAUGAAGGUCCCAGUGCAACCUCGAGGGUACACUCAGAAACCUAAAUAGAUACAGUAGCAAGAAAAUAAAAUCCCAAUAUCCUACUUCAACAAAAUUUCAUUAUCGUCCACUCACACCAACAGUAAAAUCAGCAGUAUUUGAUAGCAUACAUAGCCUAACAGAUGCGCCUCAACUCCCCAAAUAAACCCCAAAACUGUAUCUAUAAAUUGACCCACUCAAAUCCUGAACAUGCCAUUAACAAGGUAUCAAUAAAUAUUGAGAAGGAAUGAGUUAAUCACUUAAACCAAUCGAGCCUGGGAACAGAACUCCUAGCCACUACCAGCAAGUCCUGUCCUAAACAAAUAUGAACAAGAUUCAUGCAAAAAUCCAUGACUAAAUCUUACAAGGCAGCUAAAAUAAUGCAAGCAUCACCUAAUAGUUCAGAAUAGUCAUGAUAGCAGAAUUAAACUGUGUCAACUGAUUAAAGCCAAUGCUCUGCGCAUAACAGUGUAUACAGAAUCAGGCAGAUUUUGACAAAAGCAACCAUGAUCCAGUUAUAAGAUAUAAAAAAAAAAACUAGAAAUGAUUUCACAGAACAUAAAACAAGAGAUAUAUUUGUUCAAUUAAGUCCAUUACAAGGACAAUUAAGAUCACUUUAACAAACUACUACUUAGAUAUGGAUACCAAUAACUUCAGACCAACCAACAUAAGAACUUCAGUCUUACCAAAAAACUAACUGGAUUAUCAAAUAUUCAGAAAGUUAUUUCUCCACACAGUUUAACCACAAGUCUGCUUCCUCCUCAAACACCAAAUUGUAUAGCUAUUAUAUUUACCACAAUCAACAGACAAAGUAAUAGGAAACGAAAUUACUAAUACAAUGACAAGAUAAAAACUUGUCAAGACCAUUACGAAAUACAUUAGUUAGAUAUCUCAUAAAUAUUGAGAACACAGUACACAACAUGCCAAACAAAUAGAGAUUCAUCAAAAUUUGUCAAUAAUCCAUAUCUGCGAAAUAAAAUUCAACAAAUACGCAAAUCCUCCCCAACAGAAGAUACCCGAGGAUCUAAUCCUCGCUCUGAUACCAUUUGUAACACCCUGACCCAAUAUUUAUGCAAGAAAUGCGAGUUUUAAACGAAACAGAAAACUCAAAAUUCAAUCUCAAAUUCCAGCGAACUUACCGUUUGCUAAACGAAUUUCAUACCCAUCGAUAUGUAGCUUCUAUGUUUUACUCCCAUCAGAUCAUACCCAUCACAUUUAAACCUAAACGCAGUUGAAGUCGCCGGAACCACCAUGAAUCGCAGAAGCAGCCCACUCUCUUCUCUUCGUCGGUUCUCCCUCCAAGCUUGAGGACUGGUCAAACGAUACUACCGAUGACAAGACCCACCCCAAAUUUCACCCUGAAACCCGGAGUAAGUCGUGCGGGGACCACCUCUAAGGAAAAUUUACCGAAAAGAUUGGUAAAACCUCCCUUGAAAAUGGACAACCCUAACCCGGAAAUUUCAAAUUUACACUAUUAUUACCACAUGUCCAAACAACACAUAAUUAUCUAGAUAAUAACCGCAAACAUUAUCUUCAGAAAUUCUAAACAUAAAGUCAACCGACCGAGCACACCACCGAAAAUAAUAUACAUUAAUCCCACAGUAUUCAGAGCUACUAGGAAUUAGCGGAAGCAAGAAGACACGAGUAGGUUAAACAGGUAACCUACUGAGGAAAACUGGCGGAAAAACGGGUGACUAUGCCUCGUCUCCUACUAGAUCCAACCCGAACUCUGCAGACUGGGGAUUUUAAAACGAAGGGCCCAGGGGAAAAACAUUUAAUAACGUUAGAGUGAGUGGACAAAAAUAAAUUAAUAAGAAAAAUAUUUAUGUUUCCCCAAAUCCAUUUCUAAGGAAAAAUCGAAUGCAUGCCGCAAGUGAUAAAACUUUUAUCUCAUAAAAUAUCGAGCCUCUCAAACUCUAUAAUAUAUGUAUGUAUUUACACAUGUCCAUACUCCCUAUAUAAAUUCAUGGGUCUAUAUAGGGCUACUACGCUCGCGUCCAACGCUCACGUCACGCCUUAAUGCGGUGCUACACUACGCCAUUAAGGUGGACAGACGAGUGUAUAAAUAUGUGUCCAUACCCCCUAUGUGAAUUAAACACCCAUAUAGGGCUACUACGCUCACGUCACACCAUAAUGCAGCUAUAUGCUACGUCAUUAAGGUGGACAGACACAUAUGGCUAGCUAGCAUUUAUAUACAUACUCUUCUCAAUAUACAUAUUUAUACUCACCGAAAAAUACCGAAAAGAUUUUUCGGUAACUCUCCAAGAGAAAUAAAAGCGUCAAAAUUAAAUGACGUCAAAACUCUAACAAUUUAAAUGUUCGACCAUGAACCAUAGCAUGCAUAUUAUUUAAAACAAAAGUCUAUUCAUAAAUUUGGCCUAAGCCUGAUGUCAAUCUGGGGCCUCGUCUACUCGAGCCUUCUCAUGUCUUGUUCCAAAUAUAAUAUUAAUUUCCCACUAAAAAUCCAAUAAUUAAACAAAAUGGGCAAAAUUAAACGUGAGCCUCCCGCACACUCAUCAUUGCCGAUCUACGCCAUUCUUAACUCAAAAUGGCUCAACCUUCACCGAACAUACCGUAGCCGUAAAUACAACCUCCCCCAAAAUACGACUUAAAUCCUACAUUAAUUAACCGCCAAAAAUACUAAACUUCGGAAAAUCACAAACCUAUCCAAAACUCAUCCAAAAAUUCCAUAAUUCACUUCAAUAAACUCCCCUUAAUAUUCCACAUUUAAAAACAUUAAAAUCUCCCAAACAGCUCUGGUGCCGGCGCCGGCUCCGCUGGCAGCAGUGGCCGGAGGCUGAUUCCGGCGACCUCCAAAUCCUAUGAAAUUUUGACAGCAUAAUCCUCUUAUCAUGCUCUACAACUUUCCUAACUAGCACAAACCCAAAAUCCAAGCCUAGCUAGGGUAAUCGACUAAAAACAUCUUAAAAGCCCUAGAAAUUUCAGCUCCACAUUUCUUCUUAUCUAGCUCAAGAGGGAGUGAGCCCUUUGGAGGGGUUGCUGCACGGGAGGAGGGCUACAAAAUGAGCCGAGGAUCGCCGGCUGUGGUGACCAGAGGAGGGAGUUCCGGCGAAAAGCUUCCUAGCGUCUCCGGCGAGUUUUCUCCUCUUCCGGCGGGCUAACGGCUCGAGGGCUAGGCCGGGGAGGGAGAGGAGGUGAUGGGGGUCCGAACUGGGGUGGAGUGGUGGCUGGUGGCUGGCCGGACGACGGCAACUGGGGCUGGAGAAGAACUAGAAACGGGAGAAGUCGGGAGAGGGAAAAACCGGGGAAGAGAAAAGAGAAGAAGAAGAGAGAAAAAAGAGAGGGCUGGGCUUUUACCACCCCUUGGCCCGGUCCACACUCUUAUGCAACCCAAAUCCAAAAAAAUAAUACCCGAAUAAAAAUUACCUUUUACUAGCUAAAAUUUACCAUUUUUACCAUCGUCGUAUUUUCCUCCUACGAAUAAUCCUCCGCACAUAAUAGUCCCUGAAACCCCUCUAGGGACCAAUUAAACUAUUAACUCAAUGACGGAGACGGUAAAAUUCUUAUUCUAAUCAAGCUAGUAAAUAAGGUAAAAAUUUAAGGGUCGGGAUGUGACAACCGAGACAUUUUUAUCUCGACUUCCGUCUCGAUAUAAAUCGUAUGCAUUCACAUAAAUAUUUAUUUAUUUGCUUCAUUUACUUUUAUCUCGACUCCCUCCAAGGUUAUGGUCCCGCCUAGGCUAUAGGUGGAGCUAAGCCGCUCGUAUUUUCUCUAGAGCGUUCAAGUAAGGCGUCGUCAAGGCGAACCAGACGCGCCUAAGGCGGUCUUGGACUAAGCGCGACUAGGUGAAGCCGGUGCUUCCGAUAAAAAAAAAAAAAACCCAAUAAAAACUAAAACGCGUGCAUGCCCUUGCUCCUCAUCGUGCUUUGAUUCCCGAAGAUGCCUCGGUGUUGUCCACCAUCGGAGCCACGAUUAACUUGGGCUAGGCAAAGUAGAGGAUGUCGUCAUCGUCGAGGUUGUUGGGAAUGUCCAGUGCUUGAGCAGUGAGGCUAUUUGAGAUUUGGGUUUGAGGGCGAGGUUUUGUGAGAGGAUUGGGAAGUUCGAAUUCUAUGAGGACGAUUCUGGAAUUGCUCCUCUACUGUGUGUUGUAGAAUUGAAGCAGACGAGAUCAUUUACCAGAAUUGACGCCACACAAAGCGGAGACGGGUAACGCCAGAUGAAGCAGAAAGGGGUCAUAGCUGACGGGACAGCGCAUAAAGCGGGAAUGAGUAAUAACCGACAAGACGCCGCACGAAGCGGUAGGGGUAAUAAUCGAAGAGAUGCCGCACGAAGCGGCAUGGGGAAUAACCGAAAGGACGCCGCACGAAGCGGGAAGGAGUAAUGACCGAUGUGACGCCACACGAAGCGGUAAGGGGUAUUAACCGACAUGACGCCGCACGAAGCAGGAAUGGGUAAUAACCGAAGGGACGCCGCACGAAGCGGUAGGGGUAAUAAUUGACAGGACACCGCACGAAGUGGUAAGGGGUAAUAACCGAUGGGACACCGCACGAAACGGUAAUGGGUAAUAAACUAUGAGACGCCGCACGAAGUGGUAAUGAGAAAUAACCGAUAGGACGCCGCACGAAACGGUAGAGGUAAUAACCGAAGGUACACCGCAUGAAGCGACAUGAGGUAAUAACCGAAAAGACACCGCACAAAGCGGUAAUGGGUAAAAACCGAUGAGACGCCGCACCAAGCAGUAAGGGCAAUAACCGAAUGGACGCCGCACGAAGCAGUAGGGGUAUUAACAGAAGGGAUGCCGCACGAAGCGGUAGGGGAAAUAACCGCGGAAAGGGGUAACAACCGACGGGACGCCGGACGAAACGGUAUGGGGUAAUAACCGAUGGGACGCCGCAUGAAGCGGUAAUGGGUAAUAACCGAGGGGACGCCGCAUGAAGCGGUAAUGGGUAAUAACCAAGGGGACGCAGCACGAAGCGGUAGGGGUGAUAACCGAAGGGACGCUGCAUGAAGCAGUAAGGGUGAUAACCGACGGAACGCCGCACGAAGCGGUAAUGGGUAAUAACCGAGGGGACGCCGUAUGAAGCAGUAGGGGUGAUAAUCGACGGAACGCCGCACGAAGUGAUAGGUGUAAUAACCGAAGAGACGCCGCACGAAGCAGUAGGGGUAAUAACCGAAGGGACGGCGCACGAAGCGGUAAUGGGUAAUAACCGAUGGGACGCCGCACGAAACAGUAGGAUAACAAACGAAGGGACGCCGCCCGAAACGGUAGGGGUAAUAAUCGACGGGACGCCGCACGAAGCAGUAAGGGGUAAUAACCUAUGGGAUGCCACACGAAGCAGUAAGGGUAAUAACUGAAGGGACACCGUACGAAGCGGUAAUAGGUAAUAACCGAUGGGACACCGCACGAAGCGGUAGGGUAAUAACCAACCGGACGCCACACGAAGCGGUAAGGGUAAUAACCGACAUCACGCUGCACGAAACGGUAACGGGGUAAUAACCGAAUGGACGCCGCACGAAGCAGUAGGGUAAAACCGCGAGACGCCACCGAAGCGGUAGGGUAAUAACCGCGGACGUAGCACGAAGCGGUAGGGUAAUAACCGAUGGGACGCCGCAUGAAAGGGUAAUAACCGAAGAGACGCCGCACGAGGCGUCAAUAAGUAAUAACCGAUGAUAACCGAUGGAACGCCGCAUGUAGCGGCAAGAGGUAAUAACCAAUGGGACGCCGCACAAAGCGGUAAGAGGUAAUAACCGACAGGACGCCGCACAAAGCGGAAAGGGGUAAAAACCGACGGGACGCCGCACGAAGCGGUAGGGGUAAUAACCGAGGGGACGCCGCACGAAGCGGUAAGGGGUAGUAACCGACAGGACACCGCACGAAGCGGAAAGGGGUAAAAACUUAUGGGACACUGCACGAAACGGUAGGGAUAAUAACCGAAGGGCCGCACGAAGUGUAUCUUUACCUAUUUAAGUCUUAAGUAUUUAAGUGUUUUAUUAUUAUUAAGUUAUAUUAGUCUUAUGCUAUUCUAGGAGACUAAGAGUUAAUUUGAAACUUAUAAAUGGCUUUCUCAUGUAAUACGAAGCGCAUAUUGGAAUGAAUUAAGAUUUGAUCUUAUUGAAGGCUUGGCCUUGUUUCCUCUCCCCUAACAUGCCUCGUUUUAUUUCUCCCCUAAGCAUGCAGACAACACAAAUGUCCCCAACAUUUAAAUUCAGCAGAAAGAUUAUGAGUCACGAUGGGAUUACCUCAAGUAUCAUGUGAAGUAAUUGGAAAGCUGCACGCAUCCCAUUAUCUCUUAAUGUAAAGCGGAGUCCCUUGGAAAUAAAUUCCUUAGUGGACUCCGAUGAGCAAUUACUCAUGUGGUUCACACAAAAAGUUCUACCUGAGAAAAAUGAUGCAUAUACAUAAGACGAUCUUAGCAAAAAUGAGUAAGCUCCGAUAC
rnacentral:lncRNA from 1 species